GUCGUAACAAGGUUUCCGUAGGUGAACCUGCGGAAGGAUCAUUACCACACCAAUCUCGGGGAGCAAUCCUCGAUUCCGUUACGUGGAACGAAUUAUUUCUGGGGAAGUGGCCUUCGUGUCACGACCUCUUUUUUAUAUCCGCUUGAGCAAUCAAGUGUGAUAGACCAAACAUUCUGAUAGUGACGAUUCAUAAGGCGGAAGUACCUUCUGCCGUCAUCAUGAAACGUAAACAACACUUUCAGCAACGGAUGUCUUGGCUCCCA
rnacentral:misc_RNA from 1 species